AUUGAACGCUGGCGGCAGGCCUAACACAUGCAAGUCGAACGAGUGGCGGACGGGUGAGUAAUGUCCGGGAAACUGCCCGAUGGAGGGGGAUAACUACUGGAAACGGUAGCUAAUACCGCAUACCAUCGGAUGUGCCCAGAUGGGGUUAGCUAGUAGGUGGGGUGACGGCUCACCUAGGCGACGAGCCCUUGCUGGUCUGAGAGGAUGAGCAGGCACACUGGAACUGAGACACGGGCCAGACGCCUACGGGAGGCAGCAGUGGGGAAUAUUGCACAAUUGGCGCAAGCCUGAUGCAGCGAUGCCGCGUGUAUGAAGAAGGCCUUCGGGUUGUAAAGUACUUUCAGCGAGGAGGCGUUACUCGCAGAAGAAGCACCGGCUAACUCCGUGCCAGCAGCCGCGGUAAUUC
rnacentral:rRNA from 1 species